GAAAUGCGAUAAGUAAUGUGAAUUGCAGAAUUCAGUGAAUCAUCGAAUCUUUGAACGCACAUUGCGCCCGCCAGUAUUCUGGCGGGCAUGCCUGUUCGAGCGUCAUUUCAACCAUCAAGCCCCCGGCUUGUGUUGGGGACCUGCGGCUGCCCGCAGGCCCUGAAAAACAGUGGCGGGCUCGCUGUCACACCGAGCGUAGUAGCAUACAUUCUCGCUCAGGGCGUGCUGCGGGUUCCGGCCGUUAAACGACCUUCAUAACCCAAGGUUGACCUCGGAUCAGGGAGGAAGGCCCGCUGAACUUAAGC
rnacentral:misc_RNA from 1 species